UACGAAGGGGGCUAGCGUUACUCGGAAUUACUGGGCGUAAAGGGCGCGUAGGCGGCACGAUUAGUCAGGCGUGAAAUUCCUGGGCUCAACCUGGGGACUGCGCUUGAUACGGUCGAGCUAGAGGAUGGAAGAGGGUUGUGGAAUUCCCAGUGUAGAGGUGAAAUUCGUAGAUAUUGGGAAGAACACCGGUGGCGAAGGCGGCAACCUGGUCCAUUACUGACGCUGAGGCGCGAUAGCGUGGGGAGCAAAC
rnacentral:rRNA from 1 species